rnacentral:tRNA from 1 species
GCGGAAGUGGCUCAGUGGUAGAGUAUCUCCUUGCCAAGGAGAGGGUCGCGGGUUCGAAUCCCGUCUUCCGCUCCA